GAUGAACGCUGGCGGCGUGCCUAACACAUGCAAGUCGAACGGAGUACCCCUAAACGGAGAUUCGUCAAAGGGAAGGGAAUACUUAGUGGCGGACGGGUGAGUAACGCGUGGGUAACCUGCCUCAUAGAGGGGGAUAACAGUUGGAAACGAUUGCUAAUACCGCAUAAGCCCACACUGCCGCAUGGCAGAGAGGGAAAAGAUUCAUCGCUAUGAGAUGGACCCGCGUUAGAUUAGCCAGUUGGCGGGGUAACGGCCCACCAAAGCAACGAUCUAUAGCCGGACUGAGAGGUUGAACGGCCACAUUGGGACUGAGACACGGCCCAAACUCC
rnacentral:rRNA from 1 species